UACGAAGGGGGCUAGCGUUGCUCGGAAUCACUGGGCGUAAAGCGCACGUAGGCGGACUCUUAAGUCGGUGGUGAAAUCCUGGAGCUCAACUCCAACUGCCUUCGAUACUGGGAGUCUCGAGUUCGGGAGAGGUGAGUGGAACUGCGAGUGUAGAGGUGAAAUUCGUAGAUAUUCGCAAGAACACCAGUGGCGAAGGCGGCUCACUGGCCCGAUACUGACGCUGAGGUGCGAAAGCGUGGGGAGCAAACAGG
rnacentral:rRNA from 1 species